rnacentral:antisense_RNA from 2 species
CUUCACCGAGCCGAGCAGCAGCGGACGGUCGGCGGGGCGGUUGCGGCCGUAGGUGGCGAGCAGCGCCUCCGCCUC